CAAGCCUUCUCACCACCACUGACUGGGCUCCUGUGAUGUUAGUGGCAGCUGGAUUCUCAGAAAUUAAGAUACAAGGAGAAAGAUCCUAACCCCCCCCUGAGGAAGAGGAAACUCCUUGCAUUGAGGAGUUAUUACAGCCAAAUCAAUAAACAGAAAGAUCCCAGUUUUAUUUUCAGGUACUUAUAAAACUAUAGGAGAGAGAGA